rnacentral:lncRNA from 1 species
UGCUGUUCCUCCCCUGAGCACAGUGACUCUCCAGUCAAAUUCCUACGCAGCCUUGAAGACCCAGCCCCACAGUCCUGUCCAUCCUAAAGCCAUGGGUGGUCUUUUGCUCCCUGCUUUGGUCACUGCUGAGCCAUCGUGCUCUGAGGAAGCCCAAACCAGCCAAUGCUGAGAGACCACAUAGAGAGAAACCAUGCAGACAAGAGCAGAAGCUGCAACCUAUCAUCUGCAUCAACAGAUUGGAGCACAAGUGAUGUAUUCAGUGCUGCAUGCCCGUGGUUAAGACCCUCAACUAAGCUGAUAGAGGGUGUGGCUACUGCCUUCCAAGUUAGCUUUCAUCCACUCCUUACAACCUGUGCGAUUCUAGUGUACCAGAAUUCAUUGUUUAUGUACCACACCCAGUUCUCCAUGCAGUACGUGCCCUCCAUAAUAUGGAAAGUGCCUGGGUACCUGCUUCUUUGGAUGAAGAUUUGAAUUGUUACCUCCCAGAGCCAAUAAUACAUCUCACCUCUCUGCAGACAAAGGCCUCAGUUUCCUCAUCUUGAAGUGGGGAUAAUGGUAGAGCCCAUCUCAUAAGGUGAUGGGAGAAUUAGAGAGACUACACAUUUUUCAACAUGAAGUAAUUAUUAAUUAGGAGUUGCUGUCAUCAUUGCCAUCAUUAUCACCAUCAUCAAUGUCAACAGCAGCAAUACCAUCAUCAUCAUCACCCUCAACACCAUCACUGUCAUCAUCAUCACCGUCAUCACCAUGACCAUCAUCAUCAUCAUCAUCGCCACCAUCAUUACCAUCAUGAUCACUAUCAUCUUUACUGCCAUCAUCAUUAUCAUUAUCAUCCAAUGAGGAGAAGACUUGCAAUGCCUGCCAUGGCCCUGGUGAGCUUCCCAGUAUAGUGAAAUCACCAUGAUUUGGGAUUCCAGUAGCCUUCCAAACCAUGCCACUCAUAAGAUAUGCAACUUCAGACAGGUCAUUAUAUUCUUCUGUUUGUGUCCUUAUUUGUAAAAUGAACACAAUGUUCAAGGGGAUGUUGGGGAUGGAUAAAGGAUGGGGAUCAUGCC